GAUGAACGCUGACAGAAUGCUUAACACAUGCAAGUCGAUUCGAUUUACCUUCGGGUAUUGAGGAUGGCGGACGGGUGAGUAACGCGUAAGGAACUUGCCUACUUGGACUGGGGACAACUGUUGGAAACGACAGCUAGUACCGGAUAUUAUGAGAUUCUCGCAUGGGAAACUUAUGAAAGCUAUAUGCGCCAAAGAGAGAGCCUUGCGUUCCAUUA
rnacentral:rRNA from 1 species